AGCAACAAAUGCCCUGCUUCCAGGAAAAGCCUCUAAGCAUCAGGUAACAUCAAAUCGUACCCCAAACCGACACAGGUGGUCAGGUAGAGAAUACCAAGGCGCUUGAGAGAACUCGGGUGAAGGAACUAGGCAAAAUGGUGCCGUAACUUCGGGAGAAGGCACGCUGACACGUAGGUGAAGUGAUUUACUCAUGGAGCUGAAGUCAGUCGAAGAUACCAGCUGGCUGCAACUGUUUAUUAAAAACACAGCACUGUGCAAACACGAAAGUGGACGUAUACGGUGUGACGCCUGCCCGGUGCCGGAAGGUUAAUUGAUGGGGUCAGCGCAAGCGAAGCUCCUGAUCGAAGCCCCGGUAAACGGCGGCCGUAACUAUAACGGUCCUAAGGUAGCGAAAUUCCUUGUCGGGUAAGUUCCGACCUGCACGAAUGGCGUAAUGAUGGCCAGGCUGUCUCCACCCGAGACUCAGUGAAAUUGAACUCGCUGUGAAGAUGCAGUGUACCCGCGGCAAGACGGAAAGACCCCGUGAACCUUUACUAUAGCUUGACACUGAACAUUGAGCCUUGAUGUGUAGGAUAGGUGGGAGGCUUUGAAGUGUGGACGCCAGUCUGCAUGGAGCCGACCUUGAAAUACCACCCUUUAAUGUUUGAUGUUCUAACGUGGACCCGUGAUCCGGGUUGCGGACAGUGUCUGGUGGGUAGUUUGACUGGGGCGGUCUCCUCCUAAAGAGUAACGGAGGAGCACGAAGGUUGGCUAAUCCUGGUCGGACAUCAGGAGGUUAGUGCAAUGGCAUAAGCCAGCUUGACUGCGAGCGUGACGGCGCGAGCAGGUGCGAAAGCAGGUCAUAGUGAUCCGGUGGUUCUGAAUGGAAGGGCCAUCGCUCAACGGAUAAAAGGUACUCCGGGGAUAACAGGCUGAUACCGCCCAAGAGUUCAUAUCGACGGCGGUGUUUGGCACCUCGAUGUCGGCUCAUCACAUCCUGGGGCUGAAGUAGGUCCCAAGGGUAUGGCUGUUCGCCAUUUAAAGUGGUACGCGAGCUGGGUUUAGAACGUCGUGAGACAGUUCGGUCCCUAUCUGCCGUGGGCGCUGGAGAACUGAGGGGGGCUGCUCCUAGUACGAGAGGACCGGAGUGGACGCAUCACUGGUGUUCGGGUUGUCAUGCCAAUGGCACUGCCCGGUAGCUAAAUGCGGAAGAGAUAAGUGCUGAAAGCAUCUAAGCACGAAACUUGCCCCGAGAUGAGUUCUCCCUGAGACUUUAAGUCUCCUGAAGGAACGUUGAAGACGACGACGUUGAUAGGCCGGGUGUGUAAGCGCAGCGAUGCGUUGAGCUAACCGGUACUAAUGAACCGUGAGGCUUAACCUUACAACGCCG
rnacentral:rRNA from 1 species